CGCCUCUUGAGCUUUAUAAGAGGUCCAGCCUGCCCAGUGACUCUGUUCAACGGCCGCGGUAUCCUAACCGUGCGAAGGUAGCGUAAUCACUUGUUCUUUAAAUGUGGACUAGUAUGAAUGGCACUACGAGGGUUACACUGUCUCCUUUCUCUAAUCAGUGAAACUAAUUUUCCCGUGAAGAAGCGGGAAUGCGCCUAUAAGACGAGAAGACCCUAUGGAGCUUUAAACAAUCAGCAAUUACUUUUAAAAUCAAAAAUUUCAGAAUAUUCAUUUUUUUAAGUAACAUGACUGCAAGUUUUCGGUUGGGGUGACCAUGGAGAAUAACACAACCUCCACAUUGAACGAAUUUCAUUCUAAGCUAAAAAUGACCUAUUAAAGCAUCAACACACUGACAUCUAUUGACCCAAUAUAUUUGAUCAACGAACCAAGUUACCCUAGGGAUAACAGCGCAAUCCACUUCAAGAGCCCCUAUCGACAAGUGGGUUUACGACCUCGAUGUUGGAUCAGGGUAUCCCAGUGGCGCAGCCGCUACUAAAGGUUCGUUUGUUCAACGAUUAAAACCCUA
rnacentral:rRNA from 1 species